AUUAUCUUUUCUGAAACACAAAUGUGAUCUAUGGAGAACCAGUCAUCUCCCCUUAUCAUCUGCCCCACCUCAUUGCAAUUGGAUGUCUUCUUUUCUACAGGAGAUCAACAAUUACUGCAAUCAUAUUCAUGUUUUGGCUCCAGAGAAGCUGGGUUGGUUGAUGUGUUUUUCAAUAGCUUGCAAUCAUCACCAUAUAAGAACCACACGGUUGAAGCCUAUCAAGCUUUGUCUCACAGGCGUUCCCCAGGUUGUUGCUACUUUCUAAUCUGGAAUCCUGCAGCAAUACCCAAUCCCAUUCUGUGAAAGGCUUCGAAGUCCUUGAAGAAACAAACCAUUCCUUCAGCUGUCCUCAAUCUAUGAACACCUCUUUCUGUGUACUUGCAUCAUGAUUUUGAAGCUUAUCACUUCUUUCCUUGUGACAAGAAGAAGAUGCUGCAGAUGAACUUACCACA